GACGAACGCUGGCGGCGUGCUUAACACAUGCAAGUCGAACGGAAAGGCCCUGCUUUUGUGGGGUGCUCGAGUGGCGAACGGGUGAGUAACACGUGAGUAACCUGCCCUUGACUUUGGGAUAACUGCAGGAAACUGGGGCUAAUACCGGAUAGGAGCUCCUGCUGCAUGGUGGGGGUUGGAAAGUUUCUGCGGGUGGGGAUGGACUCGCGGCUUAUCAGCUUGUUGGUGGGGUAGUGGCUUACCAAGGCUUUGACGGGUAGCCGGCCUGAGAGGGUGACCGGCCACAUUGGGACUGAGAUACGGCCCAGACUCCUACGGGAGGCAGCAGUGGGGAAUAUUGUACAAUGGGCGGACGCCUGAUGAAGCACCGCCGCGUGCGGGAUGACGGCCUUCGGGUUGUAAACCGCUUUCGCCUGUGACGCAGCGUGAGUGACGGUAAUGGGUAAAGAAGCACCGGCUAACUACGUG
rnacentral:rRNA from 1 species